AUGACCCCACACUUUGUCUCCACCCACCCACCAAGAGCCUGGUUUACCAUCUUCCCUUUGAGUAGCAGUCCCCAACUCCAGUGCUGCAGGCACCUCAUUCCCGGGCCUCUGUGGUGCUCCUGAUGCCCCUCACCCACUGUUGAAGAUCCCCGGUGGGCGAGGGGACAGCAGGGAUCCUGCACUCCCAGCUGUGAUAUAUAAGGAUGAGAAGCUUACGGUUUCUCAGGAUCUCCCGGGGAAUGAUGGGAAGCCCCGCCUUAUCCACUUUCAUUAUAAGGUCACUGACGUGAAAGAAUCUUCAUGGAAGGCCAAGCUGUCAAACCAGAGCCUCUUUGUGGAAAUCCCUGAGGGCAUUCUAGCUGAUGGAAGCAAAGAAGGGUUACUGGCUCUUCUAGAGUUUGCAGAAGAAAAGAUGAAAGUCAGAUAUGUCUUUAUCUGCUUUAGAAAGGGCCGUGAAGACAGAGGUCCGCUUAUGAAGACAUUUAGCUUUCUGGGCUUUGAGAUUGUGCGUCCCGGGCACCCCUGCGUACCAGCACGUCCAGAAGUUUUGUUUAUGGUUUACACUCUUGACCAGAGUUCCUCAGACGAAGAGUGACCUGCAGUGGACAUGUAGAUCUUUGUAGCUUUUUUUUUUUUUCUUUUGUGUGUAAGAAUAGCUGGUGGGGAUUUCUCGCACUUUUCCAAGGACAUGGGAGGAGAAGCACUCGUUACCAUGAAAUGGACUGAUAUAUUUUUUGGCCUUUCUUUCAGUUUUAUGAAUAAGAUGUAUGUUGUUUUGACAUUCUCUGCAAUUUUGUUUGGAAGCAGCAACCUCAAGCACCUUGCAAUCUGUGAUAACAAACAUGUAUUCAGAAUGUAGUUGAAGCUGCAUAUGAGAAAAUAGUUAUCUUAAAUGCCAA